rnacentral:tRNA from 1 species
GGCUGUGUAGCAUGAUGGGUAAGGAGUUGGUCUGGUAAACUAAAGGUCACAGGUUCGAUUCCAGGUAGGACA